UGUCCACAGAAACAGUUUGCUUUGUCCUCUGCAAGCUGGACAUCUUUUAUUUAUUCCUCUCAUCUAACGUUCCUUCACGGAUCUGAGCUCUCAUACAGCACUGAAGGGAGAGGAGAGAGAGCAAGCCCUAUCUUGUUCCGGCCUUAUAGGGACAACUUCAGUUUUACCAUUAAUUAUGCCAUUGUCUCUGGGUUUUCAUAGAUGUCUGUUACCAGUUAAUAAUAUUCUUUUUUUUUUGGUUUGUUGAACAUUUUUGUCAUGUUAGAUUCUGUGAAAUGCAUUUUCUGUUUUUACUAAGAUAAUUGUGUGAUUUGGGUCCAUUGUUAUAUUAACACACUUUAUGUUACUAAUUGAUUUUUAGAUUUUAGAUUAGCCUUGCAUUUCUGGAAUAAAUAUUGUCAUACCCACCAGCUUUCCAUCCCUGAGCAGAGCAUCUGAGUUAAGCUCCUUAGCAGGAGGAGAUUCCUAUUUCGGCCCAUUGUUGCAUAGGUUUCCAUCUUUGUGGUAGUGACACUCACUCCCUUGGACCAGCAUCCAGCAAGGCUGGACAGUGUGGCUGGGAGUGCUGUGGAGAAAGGCAGCUGGACAGUAGAAAGGAAGAGUACAGGAAGGAGGACGCAAGGGUGUCAGUGUCUCCAUGUCUUAUUCAAAGGUACUCCCUCUUACCUAACUGCUUUCUAUUAGGGCCCGCCCCUAAGGCCCUUCACCUCCUAAUAGUGCUGCAAGCUGGGGACCACGCCCUUAACGUAAGUUUAACAGAGGGUGUUUUGGGAGGAUGCUUCAGCUCCAAACGGUAAUGAUAUUUUAGUCUGGUUUUAACAGCAUGUAAUGCUGGUCUCAGAGCAAGCGUGGGGACCUCCUUGUCUUCCCCAUCCCCUUUUCUUGAGGCAGUUUCAGUAUUGUGUCUUUCUAGGAGAUCAUCCAUUUCAGCUAGGCUAGCUCAUUUGUGAGAUUGCGUAUGUUCACCGUACAGGCUGAAUGCCCCUUAACCAAAGAUGCUUAGAUGUAUUUCAGAUUCUGGAGUCUGUGUUUUGUUGUGGUUUUGGAAUGCUUGUGUAAAGUUUAUAAUUGAACACCCCUAAGCUGAAAUCUAGACUUUCCGAUUAGAAUUGCUCAUUUUAUUAUCUUAUGGUACAUUCUAUUUGAUAGUAACACCACGUCUUUCACUCCUGAUUUCCUGCUAUACUUUGUAAGUGUAUAUAAAGCAUACAGUCUACGUUUCGAUUGUAUAGCUGUAUAUUACAAAUAGCAGCUUCCUGCUUUAUAUCCUGAAGGAUGUAAUCACACAAAGUGUUUUUCAAGUUUUUAGCUGUUAAAAACCACAGAAGUAUUCUGUUUGACGUAAUUUGGAUGUACACUUAAGUAGUAAUUAAUCACACAUUAACUCAAGGGCUACUGAAUGAGGAAUUAAUAACCAAAUGUGCAGAACUGUUUGAAAUACCACCUAAAAAAUGCCUCAGUAAAGCUGUCCCUCUCAGACAGACUUUCAGAGCAGCCAUACCAAUGUGCUCAGCACAGUUCUUUCCUUUCUCUACUGAACUGCAUGUGACAGUGGCAUUCCACACCCCAGGACACUUGGGCUUGCUGUCACAGAGUACGGCUGGCCCAUCAUCCCCAGCUUCACCACACUGGCAGAAGUACCCAGUUGUAGGCACUAUUGUGUUGGCAUACGCAUGUGAGCAGCUCAUGUGCCUGCAGUUUUUCCAUUUUCUUAGCGCUGUCUCCCCCAUCCCUGCUUUUAAGACAGGGUAUUGCUCAGCCUGGGGCUCACUCUAUAGCCUAGGCUGCCUUUGAACUCACGAUAUCUGCCUGCUUCAGCCUCUUGUAUCUUGGGAUCAUAGGCGUGAGCUACCAUGCCCAGCUCAGGUUUGCUUAGCAUUCUUAUCUGCUUGUUAUUUCAUCUUCAAAUAGAUCACACUUUGAACUGAAAGUCAGUCUGCAGUGUAAGAAAAACUGAUCUGGCAGGAGUCCUGGGUCCUCAGUUACUUACCAUGGACCUUUUAAAAAUGCUCUUAAAACUCCCCUGCAUUUUCCCUCAUUAUUCAACUGCUCUUUUAUCUUCAUUGUUCCAAAAUCUUUUGUUCGUACCGCCUUUCUGAAAUUAUACAAAAAGGAUUUUUAAAAAAAAAAUGUAUCAAACUGCUAUUCUGAAUGUUCAGGUACUGACUUUUUUUAAGGAAAUGCAACGCAGAAAGUCAGUAGACAUUUUAUGUGGAGCUGAGAGGAGUGAAGCUCUGUAAUAUGAGAGGAGAUCCUACUCUCUGCAUUAUGUACAGGUCAAGAUUAAUGGAACCAGGUAAAUUAUUCACCAGGUGAUUGAGAAGGGUGGGAAAGUGGAGAUUGAAAUGGAUCUUUAAGCAGUCAAUUAAGCCUUUGCAUGAUUGAGAAGAUAAAUAGUCGGAUAAAAAUCCAUUUGAACAACUGAUUCCGUUAUGUAAAACACACCUACAGGAUUUGAAAUGCAACCAAGUCUGUUUUAUAUUAAGGCGAGUAUAAACCAACUUAAUUUUAGACCUGCCUCCAGCCCCAGAUUAUGUUUGGUGUGAGGACAAAGAGCCAUACAGCAUGAAUGCAGGGGGAAUCAGGAGAGUGCGAGGACUCUCUGCCAGGAAAGUUUGGCAAAAAACCCCAAGAGGAAGGAGAAAUUUCUCUGUCAAAUCGACUUUGGCUCUCUGGCAUAGAGAACACAGAGAGAGAGGGACUGAGAAAGCUAGUCCCAUUCUACUUGUUGAUACCUUAACAAGCUGUUGAUUUUUGAAAGGGGACAAAGGAGCAAAGUGUGGUUAGCAUUCUGUCCCCUUGAGUCAGGCCUAAUGAAGUGGGAGGUUCUUGAAAAAAUUAAUUUCCAUUUAAAUUCAUGCGUGACCCUCUUCCAGCAACCUCCAAGUGUUUGGGAAUUUUUGUUGAGAAUUUCAAAUGGUCCAGCAAUAAUAAGCUCUUUUUCGACAUGUUCUGUUUCUUUAAGGCUAAGUUUUACGUUGAAUGCCUGAUUUCAGCUGUAAAUUUUUUUUUUCAAAAUUGGAAUAACUGAUUAUUUUCUUUUAUGUUUACUGAUUUAAUGUGGGAAAGAUAAAUGGCAAUUCUCAUACUUCCAAAGCAAUCAGGCUUUUAAUCCAGGUACUGUACUCAGGACUCCGGUGGGAGUUGGUGCCAGAUUUCCUGGCAGCUAAACAGUGGUUGAUUCCAGGGCUUUUCUGACUUAAAGACACAGGGUACUGCUCAACAGAAAAUAGAAGGCUGCUCCUCAGCACAGUUCCUGAGAGGAACAAAGGUGACUAGAUGGCUGGGUUUCAGGGCAUUGCCGAGCAGAUGAAAAGGAGGCUGUGCUGCGCUCUGGCUGCCUCAACCCUCAGGGGAGGCAGGCAGCUUUGGAAAAGAGUGACUUUGCCUCAAAUCCGAAGCGACCCUAAUGCUCUUUCUGUGUCAACUUUUGAUUAGUUGUGGACAGACUUUCUUUUCUUGAAUCUUAUCUACACAAAGGCCUAGUAUAUAGUGGUGUCGUGCCAUGAGCCAUUACCCAGAGUCCAGCUGUCUCCAGGGAACUGAAGCAAGUCAGUUAAAUUCUUGCAGAGCUGGGGAUCAAACCAGGGACUUGUGCAUGCUCUCCCACUCUACCACUAAGUGACACCCCUCAUUCCUGCUUCCUCGGGAGAGGAAGGGGAGCGCCAUUCACAGUGUUGGAUCCAGUCCCCUUGUCUCCGGUCAUUUUAAGGCUACCCCCCGUCCUUCAGGCUAUGCCUCUUUAUGAUUGAAAUGGAACUGCAUAAAACUGAAUGGGAUGUUUGCUUCAUUGAUGUGUGACACAAAUAUUUUUGUAGCUCCAAGAGAAAACUCAGAAGCUCAUUUGGGGGGUAUAUGGUUAGGUGUGUAUAUGUGUGUAUAUACAUGUGUUUGUACAGGUGCACACAAGGGCCAGAAGUCCAUGUCACACGCCUCUUUGGUCUCACUCCUCCUCCUCCUCCUCCUCCUCCUCCUCCUCUUUCUUUUUCUUCUUCUUUCUUCUUCUUCUUCUAUAAACACAAAAAUGAAAGGAGCUGAAACAGACAGUCAGUGAUGGGGAAUUUUAUUAACUACAGUUAGCCCCAAGGACCAUCAUGUCUUCUUUGGGAUUACAGAUGUAUGCCACUACACUCAUGUUUUUGCAUAGAUGCUGAGCCACCUCUCCAACCCCCCAAACCUCUUGACUAGUCUGUUCUGAGGCUGAGCUCUUUUGUCAUGGAGAUUGACCACAGUCUCCUACUUCACAUAACCUAACUAUUCUUUUGUUACAAGGUCUUUAAGGGAAAGACACGGUAUAACAUAUAUUCAUAAAGGUUUGUUUAAAGCACUUAUGAGAGUCUGGAGAAAUGCCUCAGUGUUGAAGAGCAUUUGCUCUCCUUCCAGAGAACCCUAGUUUGGUUCCCAGCCUCCAUAUUGGGUGGCUCACAGCAGCCUGUAACUCCAGCUCUAAAUGGUUCAAUGCCCUCUUCUGACCUCUGUGAGCAUUUUUACAAGUGUAGCAUUCUGUGUCUCCAGCACACACAUAUAUCAAUAAAAAUGAUAAAAACUAAAUCUUAACAAACCCCCAAACUAACCAGUCAAAAGCCUAGCAAAUCCUGGUCCUUCAUUAGAGCUGCAGGGGUAUGGCUGUAUUUCUGAAUAAAGAGUUUUAGUGAAAGUUAGUGUUACUAUCCCUUUAAGUGGUUUCACCUCAGAACUGCGAUAAAGUCAUUGCUGUUCCUGUAGAACAUCCAUAUACAUAAAGUAAAAAUCAAUCUUAAAAAACAGUAGGGGAAUCUUAGAUGUUUUGAAAUGUAAUUUUACAUUAUUAUAAUCAUGAUAUUUUAUUAAGAGAAUAUUUCUGAAAACAGAAACUAGUUAUGGCUUAACUAUUUCAUUAAUUUAAUUAUAUAUUACUUUAUGUUCUACUCAUACCUAAAAAUAAUAUGAAGCGACUGCUAUUGACGUAAUUUAUAAUGCAUGCACCAUAAUCAUCACAGUGGAUAAGGAGUUGCAGAAUUGUGGGCGUUAGUGAGGCUGGAGAAGGUGUGGACCGUUUUGUGCACUGCCAGUUGCCAGGGAAUAUAACCAGCUCUCGAGAGAAGAAGGAAAGGGAAUUGCUGGCCACCGAGGCAGGUGACUCCUGACCCCUUCCCCUCUUUGUGAAGACAUUAUAGCUUGGGGAAGAUGAGUGCUGCUGUAAGAGCUGGGCUCAGUUAUUAGAGUCUUGCUGGCACCUUUUGGGAGCGGGGAGCUAGCAGCCCUGUCAACUUUGUGAGAUGCGAAAAUGAACAAGUCAGCAACAGAAGCCCAAACUGCUGGUAAAUGGGCCUAACUGUAGUUAAUAAAAUUCCUCAUCACUGAC